AAAAUUAAACGCUUUUAGAUAAAAUGGGAUUAGGUUUCAGUCGGCAGGGUGAAGAAGAUGAGCCUGAUGAGCCUGUAGUGGUCAAUGAUCAUAACAUUCAGAUAGACGAAGAUAUAGAUUCAUUGGAGGAGUUCAAGAAGCAGGAGAGAGAGGAAGAAGAGGAAUCAAUUCAAGACAUUUCUUUUGAGGACGUCGACAAUAUUAACACAGAGGAGGAACCUAGUCCAGUGAGCUACCGAACCCUGGUAUAUAUGGUUGUGUGGGCCUGCAUGAUGUUCUGGAUGUUAACUCUGGGCUUCGUCAUGAUCACUGACAAUACGGCAACCAUUGGCGUUGAUCUCAACACUUCAAACAGGAGAUCUCAUACCUUGGAGAACUUAAAUAAGUUUAUAGGUUUGAUUGGCUCCUUCAUAAUUGCUCCGCUACCGAUGUUGUUUCCUCCUUUGUUUCGAAGACUACGGAUGAGAUUCUACGUGAGGAUGAUAUUUGGCGCUGUGGUUAUCCUCUUUUACCUGUUCACCUUCCUAACAGUUGUAUCCUGGAUACUCCUGGUUCAAGGUGAGAAUAUGAGAAGGUUGGCAACUACUAUAAUCCUAGAGUUAUGUGGCUCAGCCUGCGUUAUCAUCGGUUACUGUUCCAUCUUAAGAGAUGAAUGGUUCCGGCACCAGAACUCGAGAUACAGGUUCGAGAAUACAGAUGGAGGGUUCGAGUUCGAGCUUCUAGUUUUCAUUGGAACUGUCAUCAUCUUUAGUCUGGAGAGUGGACUUGUAGGAACUAAACAUAGACAUGAAGCAGAUCUAGAUCUGCAGGGGAAGGUUUCAACCCAUUUUCAAAACAUUCUUCCUUAUUAUCUUCAAUGCUGGCUUUUUCUAAUCUUUCUACAACACUACUCCAGGUUCCAUGUUGGUUGGUUUACGUAUAGACGGUGUAGACUGGAAGUUGAGAGAGAACUCAACCUUGCUAUGCUCAGUCCUAUACAACAGAAUAUCCUACGGAAACAGCCUCUUACCAAACGAAUUAUUGAAGGGAUGCUCUCAGUUCCAUUGUUUAGAAGAAGAUUGUGAUCAUCUUAAUCUGAAAACUCUUCUAUAAUCCUAAUCCAUUUCAUGAGUGGAUAAAUUCAUUAAGAGAUCAUAUACCUUCUUGGUUUAAACAUUUCUGUGCUUAUGUUUUGCUCCGAUAGGUUGUUAUGCUAAUGCUAGUUUAUAUUCUCUUUUUUAUGAAGUUGAGCCAAGCAAUUCAGCGACCUUGCUCAAAUUCAUUAAAUUCGAUCCUAGAAUAUUUUCUAAAUUUGAUCAAAGAUUUAUUGUAAACAUGAAUUAAAAAUUAUUCGUUGAUAACUACGAAACUUGUCCGUUGAUUUUAGAAACCUCAAAAUUUCAGCAUGAAUUAAUUUUAUGAAUUUCAGAUAAUAUUUGUUGACUACUAGCUUUUAUGUAAUUAAU
rnacentral:misc_RNA from 1 species